GGUAUCGUGGCUUCGCCACAAUGAUAAACGCCAGACGGCUUAAUAACGCGUGAGUAUCUGCCCUCCGGUGGGGUAUACCUCGGAAACUGAGGAUAAUCCCGCAUACGACCUGCAUCCCUUGGGGUGCAGAUGAAAGGCUUCGUUCGCCGGAGGAGGAGCUCGCGUCCUAUCAGGUUGUUGGUGGGGUAACGGCCUACCAAAUGCCAAAGACGGGUAGCUGGUGUGAGAGCCCGCCAGCCAGAGGGGGACUGAGCCCGGCCCCCACUCCUACGGGAGGCAGCAGCAGGGAAUCUUGCACAAUGGGCGAAAGCCUGAUGCAGCGACGCCGCGUGAGGGACGAAGGCUUUAGGGUUGUAAACCUCUUUUCUCAGGGAAGAGCAAGGACGGUACCUGAGGAAUAAGCCACGGCUAACUACGUGCCAGCAGCCGCGGUAAUACGUAGGUGGCGAGCGUUGUCCGGAAUUAUUGGGCGUAAAGGGUCCGUAGGCUGUUUUGUAAGUCUCCUGUGAAAACUCCAGGCUCAACUUGGAGCGGUCGGGGGAUACUGCGAGACUAGAGGCUGUCAGAGGAAAGCGGAAUUCCCGGUGUAGUGGUGAAAUGCGUAGAUAUCGGGAGGAACAUCAGUGGCGAAAGCGGCUUUCUGGGCCAGUUCUGACGCUGAGGGACGAAAGCGUGGGGAGCAAACCGGAUUAGAUACCCUGGUAGUC
rnacentral:rRNA from 1 species